UCCCCGGUGGUCCUGUGGCUGAGACUCUGUGCUGCCAAUUCAGGGGGCCCAGGUUUGAUCCCUGGUCAGGGAA
rnacentral:tRNA from 1 species